UACGUAGGGUCCGAGCGUUGUCCGGAAUUAUUGGGCGUAAAGGGCUCGUAGGCGGUUUGUCACGUCGGGAGUGAAAACUCAGGGCUCAACCCUGAGCGUGCUUCCGAUACGGGCAGACUAGAGGUAUGCAGGGGAGAACGGAAUUCCUGGUGUAGCGGUGGAAUGCGCAGAUAUCAGGAGGAACACCGGUGGCGAAGGCGGUUCUCUGGGCAUUACCUGACGCCGAGGAGCGAAAGCAUGGGGAGCGAACAGG
rnacentral:rRNA from 1 species